UACGGGGGGAGCAAGCGUUGUUCGGAUUUACUGGGCGUAAAGGGCGCGUAGGCGGCCUCUGCAAGUCAGUUGUGAAAUCUCCGGGCUUAACUCGGAAAGGUCAACUGAUACUGCAGGGCUAGAGUGCGGAAGGGGCAACUGGAAUUCUCGGUGUAGCGGUGAAAUGCGUAGAUAUCGAGAGGAACACCCGUGGCGAAGGCGGCUCUCUGGGACGGUACUGACGCUGAGACGCGAAAGCGUGGGGAGCGAACAGG
rnacentral:rRNA from 1 species